rnacentral:lncRNA from 1 species
AGGAGGGCGGGGUGCGCGAGCGAGGGCGUCCGGCCGGCAGGUGGCACUGUGGCGUCGCCGUGGGCCGAGCCUGGCGAAGCGCUGCUCGCCCGAGAUCGCGCAGCUUGAUCAAAUGAAAAGACGAGAAAACAGCUUCUAUCACCAUGACAGCCACCUGGACACACCUAUCUCUGUUGGCAAGGGGGAGCAUUUGGAAAAUGAACUCCAGGUUCUCCGGCCUUUGGACUGAGACUGAAUUGCAGUGGCAGCUUUCCUGAGUCUCCCGCUGGCAGAGAGCAGGUGGCAGGACUUCUUGGCCUCCAAUCAUCAUGUGAGCCAAUUCCCUUAAUAAAUCUCAUCUAUUCUCUUGGUUCCAUUUCCCUGGAGAACCCUGACUAAUACAGGGGAUGUGUGUGAAUCUCCUAAAAAUGGCCCUAACAGUAUUUCCCAGUCCAGUUGUUCUUCCAGAACCCUGACACCACCCCCAGCAAGAGGUGGACUCUUUGUCCCCUCCCCUUAAACUCAGGUGAGCCUUUGUGCCUGCCUUGCUCUUAGGGUAUGGUGGGAGUGAUGCUGUGGAACUUCUGAGUUGUCACAAGAGGUUGUGCAGCUCACUCUUGGGAUGUUUGCCACCAAAAUCCCACCAUCCCUUGGAGAGGCCCCUUGCAGGUGUCCCGGCUGAUGGUCCUAGCGGAAGUUCUGACUGACAGCUGUCAUCACCGGCCACAGGUGCAAGACUAUAGCCCUUCUGACCCUUCCAGUCUCUACUUGACCUUUGAGCCACCCCAGCAGAGGUGAGCUGCCCUCACCAAACCCUCUGCUGAAAUUGCAGAUUUAGGACAACUAUGAAGCGCCAUCUUAGUCCCAAACUUCCCGGGGGAUUGAGUAUAUGCACGUGGAGAGUCAUGCGUGAGUACAGAGGUGGGCCGGGAUGGCUGUCAGGGCCCAAAAUGUUCACUUGGAAGAUAACAGAAUGUACAUGGUGUAAAAACUCUUGAGUCCAGGUAAUAUGACCUAGGGAGAAAGUACAUAGAAAAGGGUGGAGGACUGAGCUUGGGGCACUCCAUCACUAGCUGGAUGGUGGGGAGAGGCGAGGAAAGGCAGCAGUGUGUGGUGCUGCAGAGGGGCUGUGUCAAAGGGGAGGGCUGCUGGGAGCUGGGGAACAGGACACUAGGAUGUCCACGCAACCUGAUGCCAUGAAGUCAUUGGUGACCUGUCAAGAAGAGUGUUACUGCAGAGCAGAGGGCAAAAGCCAGGGGAGUUCAUGACCAGAGGUGAGGUGGUGUGUGGAGCGCUGCUGGGGAAGGGGGGAGGUCAGUGAUGGUGGGAGGGCUGGCUUUCCAGGAAGGCUGGGCACUGCUUCCUUGUCAGGCAGAGAAGGUGGACACACAUGCAGGCAAGUUUGUACCUGGGAGCAGAAAUGCAAAGGCUUUUGCUGAGACCUUUUACAGAGAGAGGGUGCUGCAGUAAAAGCUUCCAACCCCAGCCCUUCUAAUCUGUGUCCAGAAGGAAGUGCUUGGUCCCCAACAGAUGCCUACUUGACACUUGCUGAUGGACAGCUUGUCAAUUUCAUCUAACAAACCGGAAUCACUGGGGCCAUCCAGGAAUCACAGCAGCUCAUGAAGAAAUUCCACAUGAACAGGGCUGUUAAAAGCCAACCCGCCAGAAAGGGUAGAACGGAGGAAGGACAAGAGGGUUCUAACACCUCCUGGAGGCAGAGCACCCACGGAAGUUUCUCAACACUUCUCGUUGAUUCAAGUGGAACACCUUGAAGAGAGGCCCUUCUGUUUCCCUACACGGUGGACAGCAGAGCUCUGAAAAUUAGAUGCUUCCCCAAACCCAGACUCUCUUGGAACAUUCUUCCCAUGCGGGUGGUAUGAACUGCGUGGCACUGCUGUCCUCGCUGGCAUAUAUAGAUUUACACUCCACGCACGAGACUUCCAAGGCAACACCUAGGAUUUAGAGACUAUGUUCUCAGAGACGGGCAUGGAGGCAACGUCCUGGUUCUCAUGUGGUCAAGAAGGUAGAUGGAGAGAAACGUGUGCUAAGCAGCCCGGCCCUCCCCAGAGAAGCCACGGGCAGAGGCUCACCAACACCUGCCCCUCCCUCCAUGGUGUCGCCGGCUUUCAGAAUAAAGCCUUU